AUGGGCAAGGUGCUGCAAGGCUCUGCUCACCCCUCCUGCAGCAGGCUGCGGUGCUGGAGGGGGGGCACUGCAGGAGGGAGCCCCCAGCCCGGGUUUGGGGAGGUCUGGGGCAGCCUCUUACACACAAACACCGACCCAGGAGGGUCCUGCAUGACCUUCAGAGCACUGAGCUCCCACCUACCAACACAUCUCCAGAGCCGCCGGGUGCUUCAGCAGGUGUUUAACACACAAACGAGCUUCCAUACUGCUCCGGUUACAGCUCUGGGGGUGUUUGCCAGGGACCAAGUCCUCCCCAGGGCGAUAGCAACCCGGGGAUGUGCAUUAAAUGAGCUGUUUUACAGGCAGCAGGUGACUGCCUCCAGCAGCGCAGCGAGAGCUGCUCAGCAAAGCCGCCCCGCGGCCGCAGGGACGCACCGGGGGAGUUCGCCGGGGACUCGAUGUUCGCUGCCACCAGGGUGUUCACUGCGUUUGCUGGGCGCAGAAAGACACAGUGGAAAACAAAGGCGGCUGGUGCUGGACAGCUGCUGCCAGGUCCCCCAAAGCCACCUCCUCUCCAGCCUCUCCCGAUAUCGGGAGCCCCAAACUGGGCACUGUAUUCCCCAGCUGCUCCCCCAGCCAGAUCUUGUCGCCUGCGAAACCAACGAGCGUCCGUCUGUCCCCUUCUCCCUGUUGCAGCCUCUCUGCCAGUGGAGGAACGUCAAGGUCAUAUUUACAUUUAUUAGAUUCAUCUUAAUAGGAAGGACAGGAGCUACCAGAGAGCUACAGAGGAGGGCAGGUGUUUAUUCUGAUUCAGUAAGCAGGCUCCAGGAUGGCUUCAGCUGUACCCAAGCACCCCAACGAGUGGCACAAGGCUUACAGCCACCCUGCAGUCCCCCCGGGGCAGCUCCUCCUGCCUCCCAGCUGCAGCAUCGCCAUGCGGGGCAGAGCCGUGUAGCUGAUGACAAUUCCCCUACAAAAAGCUGACGCUGCAUCCAGGGCAUGUUUAGAAAUUAGUGUUGAAAUGUCACCGAGCUUUGGCAUGAGGACGCAUAGCACAAACCCGUCAUCAAGUGCUCCAGCUCCUGGGGUUGCCGCAGCCCCAGGAACGUGUGAGGGGAUGUGGGAAAGGGCUGGGAAUGUCGUGGGGACCCUGCUAGCUACCUACUGGGGGAGCCGACGGGAGCUUCGGGAUGCUGAGACCCGCUGUAUGAGUGCCCGUGGCAGCUCUUCCCCCGAGGGGUUCACAGCCCAGAGGAGACAUUGGAGGCUUUGGCUUGAAGUGCUCAAAGAUCAAAGCCUGCCUGCAGACCUUCAUCCCAGCGGGCAGCAGGCAGAGGGGUGGGCAGACAAAGAGGCAGCAGACGCGGUGACCUUUGCAUCCUGCGCCAAAGGAAGCGGGAAGAAAAAUGCCAGCCCCACCAGGUGCUUUGCCUCCAAACCCACUGCUCGCUCCUGCUGCUGCGCCCCUUCAGAGGUGCCGAGAGCUGGCGCUGGCCUUGAUCUGCGCCCGCAAUUUGUUUCAGUUGCUUUAUUUUUAGGUUUGUGCGAAGGAAGAAAGUGAUAAAUAAAUAAAUAACCUCCCGCUCCCA
rnacentral:lncRNA from 1 species